rnacentral:rRNA from 1 species
AAACGGCUGCUAAUACCGCAUAAGCGCACAGAGCUGCAUGGCUCGGUGUGAAAAACUCCGGUGGUAUGGGAUGGGCCCGCGUCUGAUUAGGCAGUUGGCGGGGUAACGGCCCACCAAACCGACGAUCAGUAGCCGGCCUGAGAGGGCGACCGGCCACAUUGGGACUGAGACACGGCCCAAACUCCUACGGGAGGCAGCAGUGGGGAAUAUUGCACAAUGGGGGAAACCCUGAUGCAGCGACGCCGCGUGAGCGAAGAAGUAUUUCGGUAUGUAAAGCUCUAUCAGCAGGGAAGAUAAUGACGGUACCUGACUAAGAAGCCCCGGCUAACUACGUGCCAGCAGCCGCGGUAAUACGUAGGGGGCAAGCGUUAUCCGGAUUUACUGGGUGUAAAGGGAGCGUAGACGGCAAGGCAAGUCUGAUGUGAAAACCCAGGGCUUAACCCUGGGACUGCAUUGGAAACUGUCUGGCUCGAGUGCCGGAGAGGUAAGCGGAAUUCCUAGUGUAGCGGUGAAAUGCGUAGAUAUUAGGAAGAACACCAGUGGCGAAGGCGGCUUACUGGACGGUA